GAUGAACGCUGGCGGCGUGCUUAACACAUGCAAGUCGAACGGAGUAAGAAAGCUUGCUUUUUUACUUAGUGGCGGACGGGUGAGUAACGCGUGAGCAAUCUGCCCAUACCAGGGGAAUAACACAUAGAAAUGUGUGCUAAUACCGCAUAAGACCACAGAGAGGCAUCUCUCAGUGGUAAAAGAUUUAUCGGGUAUGGAUGAGCUCGCGUCCCAUUAGAUAGUUGGUGAGGUAACGGCCCACCAAGUCUGCGAUGGGUAGCCGACCUGAGAGGGUGAUCGGGCCACAUUGGGAACUGAGAAACGGUCCAGACUCCUACGGGAGGCAGCAGUGGGGAAUAUUGGGCAAUGGGUGGCAACUCUGACCCAGCAACGCCGCGUGAGUGAUGAAGGUCUUCGGGAUUGUAAAGCUCUGUGAUGGGAGACGAAGAAAGUGACGGUAUCCC
rnacentral:rRNA from 1 species